rnacentral:tRNA from 1 species
GCCUUGGUGGCGGAAUUGGUAGACGCACGGGACUUAAAAUCCCGCGGUCAGUUUUGACCGUACCGGUUCGACUCCGGUCCGAGGCAC